GCUACCGUGAAAGCCAGAACUUUCGGAGCACCUGCUGACAAACACACACUCACGCAGAGACACUGAGAGGAGGAGGGGGAAUUCUGGGAUACUGGAAGAAAGGAAGUAAAGCACCCUGAGAUUUAGUUACGAGCAACCUGAGAACUGUGGGGGAUGGAUGUGAGACGAGAGAGAGAGAGAGAGAGAGAGAGAUUAAAGGAGAGAAAGGAGUGUCUGACAAAUGGAUCGAGUAAGGGAAGAGAGCUAGGUUCUUCCUGAAGACCUAGCGUACAUCAUCUUCACCGAUCCGAAGGCGUUAAUGGUCGUGUGGAGAGAUGGGUGUGGAGUGUCAGGCUGGGAUUCUCAAAACUACGACAGCAUCAAAAGACAGGUUCAACUUUUUGGACAAGGACUCUUUCAUAUCAGUGGCGUCACUGACUUCAAAAGACUCUUCUAUGGCAUCACAAGAAGAAAAAAGUAGACGAGAUCAGUGCCAGCGAGGAUUUGGAAUUAGAUGACUCAAAUUUUCCUUUCUGAAGAUCCUCCUGGGUUGAUUAGCUCAGCGUGUGUGCGUGGGACUAAGCCACCAGGGCAGCAAGCGGGCCGAUAUAACGUCCCUUUAAACCCCAGAGCACAACUAACACAGAAAGACCCACAGCAGGACAAACACGCACUCACUUCGUGGCGGAAAACUCAUUCUAUACUAAACAGAUGAUAAAAAAUAAAAGAAAGAAAUGAAGAAAGGAAGCUCGUUUCCAAGUAGGUUACUUUUCACUUGACUCUGUCAGUAUUUAGUUUCAUUCCAGAAAGAGAGAAAGAGAAGAAGCAGAUCAUCCGAGAGUAAGUAUAGCAGAAGACACAGGAUUAUGAGGCUCACACAGAAUUUAUAUCAAAUGUCCCCCCAAAAAAACAGGUUUUUGAAGAGGUGACAAUGGAGUGAGGGAGAGAAUGAAUGAGUGAGCGAGUGAUAGCAGUGAAGUGAAAAACACCGAAAGAGAAAGCUGGAUCUGAGACGGCAGAUGGUUUGCUGAUAUUAAGAAUCUCUAGAGGUUUGGCGUGUGAGGAACGUGAGGAACGCUGACCACAUGCAGACCGAGAGUGUGUUUGAGGACAGACAAACCCUAAUACUGGGGAAGAUUCAGUUUGAUCCGCUUUAGAGACACCUAUUUUCAUAAAUGACGUUAAAAUGUAAUUUAUUCAUGCGAUGGGAAAGAUGGAUUUUCAGUGUCAUUACUCCAGUGUUUGGUGUCUCAUAAUCCUUCAGAAAUCAUUCUAAUAGCCGCUCGAGAAAUAUUAGCGAUAUUAUUAGCGAUAUUGUAAACG